GAGGGAAGUCAAAGAGGGGUGAGGUGGUAAACCAUGGGGACAGGGCCCAACAUUUAGAGGGGUGAGGUGGUAAACCAUGGGGACAGGGCCCAACAUUUAGAGGGGUGAGGUGGUAAACCAUGGGGACAGGGCCCAACAUUUAGAGGGGUGAGGUGGUAAUACAUGGGGACAGAGCCCAACAUUUAGAGGGAAAUCAAAGAGGGGUGAGGUGGUAAACCAUGGGGACAGAGCCCAACAUUUAGAGGGGCGCGGUGGUAAUACAUGGGGACAGGGUCCAACAUUUAGAGGGAAGUCAAAGAGGGGCGCGGUGGUAAACCAUGGGGACAGAGCCCAACCUGUCCCACGCCUCCCUCUAACGACCGCUAGAUGUGUGUGUGUUCUAAUCGCAUUUCAUUAGUG
ensembl:lncRNA